rnacentral:lncRNA from 1 species
UCACUAAAGCGCCACCCUUCUGCGUCCCUCCCCAGCCCCUCCUCUCCCUCCUCCCUCAGGCUGCCUCCUCAGCCGCCGCCGCCGCCGCUGCCUCUGGCUUCCCCUGGCAGCGCGGUGGAAAUCUUGCAAGAGAGGGGCUGCCUGCCCGCCUGCCGCCACCCGUCUCCUCACGACGCGCCCCUGAGGGGGAAAAGAGAGAGACAGAGAUGCGGCAGCUCGUGCGCGCACGCUCUCUCACUCUCUCGAGGCGGAGGACCCCGAGCCGCUGCUUCCCUCCCGAGCCGGGCGAGCAUGAAACCUGGGAAAUUUAAGGGACAUCAUCAAUAAGGGACAGCAGCGGGAAACGGCACUGGGAUAAGGGAGUUUCCCGCCAAAUAAGUAACGGUUGGCAGCUAUGGGAAGAGACCCUGUUUACCAAGGAUCUCUUGUCUACGUGACCGCAGUAGCCCGACCAUCGGUCAGGCAUUGCUUUCUGGUUUUACUUGAAGUUCAACUUUGUGUUUUUUUCACUUGCAAAUACGAAGCGAGAGCCCUAAAAUGAAAUGUUUCCGGUUUGGCAGAUGCCUCCUGGCCUUUUGCUGACUCCUGCAGGGGGCGCUGUUGCGCAGGUUGAAACGCUGAGUUGCCCAUUUCCGAAAGUCCUUUUAUUUUUUUUACAUGCAAAAAAGGAGCUUAGUAGAAUCAGAAUCAGAAGAAUCUUUAUUUGCAUCAACCACUAGCCAUAGCAAUGAAAUGAAAGGUACUGAAGAUAGAGGUAAAAACCUAACUAUAGAAAAUACAUUUUGGGGGUUUACAUCAAUAAUCAAAUACUGUAACAGAUCUUAUUUUAAUUGCCCCUGCUUAGUAGUGAUCAUCUAUGACGAACCCCUAUUUUCUUGCGACAGACCCAUGAUUCCUAGGCAUGCGACAAGCGGAAGCAUGGAUGAGCAAGUUGUGCUCUGCGCCAAUUCUUCCUGCCCCAGGGAUCUUGACCGAGAAGGCGGAUUCCUGGGCUAAGGGCUAGGAAGCUUCCUCUGUUGCAGCAAUGGUGAGCUGUUUGUUUUCGGUUUCUUCCCUGCACAGAAGUCUCCCCCUCCCUCUAAAAAAGGGAGCAUGUCACCAGUUUGCACCCUUCUGUUGCUCACACCCCGCUGGGACUGAGCGCACCUCAAAAGCAGGGCACACCCAACUCUCGCCAUCACCCUCUUGGCAGGGGUGAAGGGUGCCCUCUUUUGAAAACAUGGAUGAAGAAGAAGAAGCAGCGAAAUUGUGCCCAGGCUGGGGGCGAGGAGCAGGCUAGAAGAAGCAAAGAUCACCAGUGCCGAAGCAAUGAUUCUUCAACAUCAACUUCGUUGGACUUGUCAUGUUGUGUGGAUGCCUGAUGAUCGUCUUCCAAAGCAACUACUCUAUUCCAAACUUAAAAAUCGAAAACAUAAUGCUGGUGGCCAACAAAAGAGAUUUAAAGACUCUCUCAAGGCAAAUCUAAAAAAAUGUAGUAUAAACACUGACACCUGGGAAACACUGGCCUGCGAGCGCUCCAGUUGGAGAACAGCCUUUACCAAAGGUGUCAUGGGCUUUGAAGACACUUGAACUCAGGACGCAAGGGAGAAACUUGCUAGGAGGAAGGCACGCUUGGCAAAUCCACAUCGUGAUCAAUUCCCACCUGGAAACCUAUGUCCCCACUGUGGAAGGAUGUGUGGAUCCAGAAUUGGCCUCCACAGUCACUUACGGACUCAUUGUUAAAACCAUGUUUAUGGAAGACAAUCUUACUCGGCUACGAGUGAUCGCCAAAGAAGAAGAAGGCAGGCAGGCAGGGUGGAUAAUGUUUGUGUGUGGGGGGAUUUUAAUUAUUUCAUUUCUAUAACGAUUGAUAGUUUUAAAAAAAAUCCUCAUAGUGAUUACUUCUCAGAGAAUAACAAUACAUACCUCAGGAUAUUUAAAGAGAGAGAGAGAGAGAGAGAGAGAGAGAGAGAGAGAGAGAGGUCUUUCACAAGAUCUCUUCACUCCUUGGCAACUAUAAAAAAUCUUGUGCAAAACUUCAGUUUUUAAAAUAUUUGUUAAAAAUGGAAAUUAAUAUUUCUCCCUUUUUUUAACAACAACAAAAGCUAAAGCCUCAUUUUGCCCAUUGAGAAAUAAGGCAUGCUUACAGGGACUCUGUUGUAAUUUAUCACCAUGCCAGAAAAAUAAUUUGCCUGCUUACCUUCUUUCCUGGGAGUACAUGAGCCAGG